ACUCAGCACUGGGCUUAAAGCGUGCGCAGGCGGUUUUGUAAGACAGAGGUGAAAUCCCCGGGCUCAACCUGGGAACUGCCCUUGUGACUGCAAGGCUGGAGUGCGGCAGAGGGGAUGGAAUUCCGCGUGUAGCAGUGAAAUGCGUAGAUAUGCGGAGGAACACCGAUGGCGAAGGCAAUCCCCUGGGCCUGCACUGACGCUCAUGCACGAAAGCGUGGGGAGCAAACA
rnacentral:rRNA from 1 species